AUAAAAUAAAUUACAAACGCAAUAGCAAGUUUAGCAAAAGUACCGGCAUAUGUUACGAAACGUUUAUUGAAACUUGAAACAACAGAACCUACUAAAAUGAACAUACCGCUUCACCAUGUGAUGAAAGUGAUCGCCAUAAUAAUGAUUUUGCUAGUUUGCUCCUCCAGGUCCCAUUUUGGAAAUGUUCGUAGCCCUGGCAUAAACUACAUUAACCAACAACUGAGACCAGAUGUGGCGGGAGAAAAAUACUGGAUUAAAAGUUAUUGAAUAAAAAUUAUGUAGCUA